UGGGCAACCUGCCCCUCUCUCUGGGAUAACCCCGGGAAACCGGAGCUAAUACCGGAUACUCCGGCUGGAUCGCAUGGUCCGGCCGGGAAAGGUCCGCCGGAGAGGGAUGGGCCCGCGGCCUAUCAGCUUGUUGGUGGGGUCAUGGCUCACCAAGGCGACGACGGGUAGCCGGCCUGAGAGGGUGACCGGCCACACUGGGACUGAGACACGGCCCAGACUCCUACGGGAGGCA
rnacentral:rRNA from 1 species